rnacentral:rRNA from 1 species
AUACGUAGGUGACAAGCGUUAUCCGGAUUUACUGGGUGUAAAGGGCGUGUAGGCGGAGAUGCAAGUCAGGAGUGAAAUCUAGGGGCUCAACCCCUAAACUGCUUUUGAAACUGUAUCCCUUGAGUAUCGGAGAGGCAGGCGGAAUUUCUAGUGUAGCGGGUAAAUGCGUAGAUAUUAGGAGGAACACCAGUGGCGAAGGCGGCCUGCUGGACGACAACUGACGCUGAGGCGCGAAAGCGUGGGGAGCAAACAGGAUUAGAUACCCUGGUAGUCCACGCUGUAAACGAUGAAUACUAGGUGUGGGGGGACUGACCCCCUCCGUGCCGCAGUUAACACAAUAAGUAUUCCACCUGGGGAGUACGAUCGCAAGAUUGAAACUUAAAGGAAUUGACGGGG